UGAACUUAAGCAUAUCAUUAAGCGGAGGAAAAGAAACCACAGGGAUUGCCUCAGUAACGGCGAGUGAAGUGGCAACAGCUCAAAUUUGAAAUCUAGUCUCUUUCGGGGCUCGAGUUGUAAUUUGUAGAGGAUGUCUUCGGGUUUGGCCCUGGCCUAAGUUCCUUGGAACAGGACGUCACAGAGGGUGAGAAUCCCGUAUGUGGCUGGUGGUCUAUACCCAUGUGAAGCUCCUUCGACGAGUCGAGUUGUUUGGGAAUGCAGCUCAAAAUGGGUGGUAAGUUUCAUCUAAAGCUAAAUACUGGCGGGAGACCGAUAGCGCACAAGUAGAGUGAUCGAAAGAUGAAAAGCACUUUGGAAAGAGAGUUAAAAAGUACGUGAAAUUGUUGAAAGGGAAGCGCUUGCGACCAGACUUGCCCUCAGUUGAUCAACCUAGUGUUCAUCACUGGUGCACUCUGCUGAGGUCAGGCCAGCAUCGGUUUGGGCGGUUGGAGAAAGGCCGUGGGAAUGUGACUUCCUUCGGGGAGUGUUAUAGCCCAUGGUGUCAUGCGACCAGCCUGGACUGAGGACCGCGCCCUUUAGUGGCUAGGAUGCUGGCAUAAUGGUCGUAAGCGACCCGUCUUGAACACGGACCAAGGAGUCUAACAUCUAUGCCAGUGUUUGGGUGUCAAACCCACACGCGUAAUGAAAGUGAACGGAGGUGGGAACCCUCAAGGGGUGCACCAUCGACCGAUCCUGAUGUCUUCGGAUGGAUUUGAGUAAGAGCAUAGCUGUUGGGACCCGAAAGAUGGUGAACUAUGCCUGAAUAGGGUGAAGCCAGAGGAAACUCUGGUGGAGGCUCGCAGCGGUUCUGACGUGCAAAUCGAUCGUCAAAUUUGGGUAUAGGGGCGAAAGACUAAUCGAACCAUUGCUAUUAGGUGGUUAAGAGGCGGAUAAAAGGUCCGUCUAGUCCUUGUUCACAGGGCGACACUGUCAAAUUGCGGGGACACCCUUAGAGCUCAAACAACCGCAGCCCAACCGAAAAGGUGGGUGCGCACCAGGGUAAUGACCUCGGGGAUGGUAAUAUAGUUUGAGAUUGGGCAAUCUGCAGCAAAGUCCUACAGGUCUUUUUU
rnacentral:rRNA from 1 species